GUGCUUUCUUUGGCAGCACAUAUACUAAAAUUGGAACGAUAGAGAAGAUUGGCGUGGCCCCUGCGCAAGGAUGACAUGCAAAUUCGUGAAGGGUUCCAUAUUAAA
rnacentral:snRNA from 1 species